rnacentral:rRNA from 1 species
GAUGAACGCUGGCGGCGUGCUUAACACAUGCAAGUCGAACGAGAUCCAUUAGCAAUAGGGGUGAAAGUGGCGAACGGGUGAGUAACACGUAGGUAACCUGCACUGAGGCGGGGGAUAACGGCUGGAAACGGUCGCCAAUACCGCAUGAGUCCAUUGAAAAGGGAGUGAGAGGGGGAAAAUUACGGUGCUUCAGGAGGGGCCUGCGUCCGAUUAGCUAGUUGGCGAGGUAACGGCUCACCAAGGCGACGAUCGGUAGCUGGUCUGAGAGGACGAUCAGCCACACGGGAACUGAGAAACGGUCCCGACUCCUACGGGGGGCAGCAGUGAGGAAUAUUGGGCAAUGGGCGGAAGCCUGACCCAGCAACGCCGCGUGAAGGAUGAAGGCCUUCGGGUUGUAAACUUCUUUUAUGGGGGAAGAGUAAGGACGGUACCCCAGGAAUAAGUCACGGCUAACUACGUGCCAGCAGCCGCCGUAA